rnacentral:rRNA from 1 species
UGGGGAAUUUUGGACAAUGGGCGAAAGCCUGAUCCAGCAAUGCCGCGUGUGUGAAGAAGGCCUUCGGGUUGUAAAGCACUUUUGUCCGGAAAGAAAUCCUUGGCUCUAAUACAGUCGGGGGAUGACGGUACCGGAAGAAUAAGCACCGGCUAACUACGUGCCAGCAGCCGCGGUAAUACGUAGGGUGCAAGCGUUAAUCGGAAUUACUGGGCGUAAAGCGUGCGCAGGCGGUUUGCUAAGACCGAUGUGAAAUCCCCGGGCUCAACCUGGGAACUGCAUUGGUGACUGGCAGGCUAGAGUAUGGCAGAGGGGGGUAGAAUUCCACGUNUAGCAGUGAAAUGCGUAGAGAUGUGGAGGAAUACCGAUGGCGAAGGCAGCCCCCUGGGCCAAUACUGACGCUCAUGCACGAAAGCGUGGGGAGCAAAACAGGAUUAGAUACCCUGGUAGUCCACGCCCUAAACGAUGUCAACUAGUUGUUGGGGAUUCAUUUCCUUAGUAACGUAGCUAACGCGUGAAGUUGACCGCCUGGGGAGUACGGUCGCAAGAUUAAAAACUUAAAUGAAUUGACGGGGUCAUAGCUG